rnacentral:lncRNA from 1 species
UAGAUAUUGUUACAAGCUAUCAUGACAAUAUGAUAAUAGAGUGAACGCACAAUAUGCUUGGUUGCGGGCCCGAGGUGCUGACAUGCGAAAUGCCUAGCUGCAGAUACAAGGAGCCGACGCUCCAUGUGCUUAGUCAUGCAGUUCGAGGUACCAUUGUGCGAAAUACCUAGCCGCACAGUCCUAGGUGCCGAUGCGUGAAAUUCCUAGUCUUGGACACGAAGAGUCGACACUCGAUGUACUUAUUAGCGCAGUCCGAGGUGCCGAUGCAUGAAAUGCCUAGACACGGGCUCGAGGAGUCGAAACUCGAUGCGCCUAUUCGCGCAGUCCGAGGUGCCAACGCGCGAAAUUCCUAGCCACAGGCUCGAGGAGUCGACACUUGAUGUGCUUAGUCGCACAAUCCGAGGUGCCGAUGCGCGAAAUGCAUAGUCGCGGGCUCGAGAAGUCGACCCUCGAUGCGCUUAUUCGCGCAGUCCGAGGCGCCGAUGCACAAAAUGAUUAGGUGACGGUC